AGCUGGCGGGUCCAUCAACGGCCGUUCCAGGCAGAGGAGAAGGCUUGAUUGCGCCAAAGACUCCAGACAUCGAAUCCUUGCUCCGAGGGGAAAUCAUCGAAAACGACGGUGAAUGUCCGACAGGCACCCGCUAUUGGUAACACUGGACAAGUCGGAUAUCCUUGCUUGGAUCCUUUUAAAGUUGCCCGAUAAACUGCUGAGAGUUGAUCUCUCCUCUUGUCCAAAGGUUUUUCGUUCAUUUUUACUUGUAAUACUGGCACUAGGGUUGAUGUAGUAGCUCCACAACAUAACCUUAAAGCCUGUGACUGGAUCCGGUCUAUUUUCCCAAGUCAUGUUUUUGAAGCAGAUUGGUAAAUAAUGCAUCCGUAAUCAAUAACAGAUGGAAUUAAAGUUAUAAA